rnacentral:snRNA from 1 species
CAGCCGGAGGUAGGGUCCAGC